rnacentral:rRNA from 1 species
CGAAAGCCUGACGGAGCAAUACCGCGUGGGUGAAGAAGGUCUAAUGAUUGUAAAGCCCUUUUCUCAGGGAAGAAGCAAGUGACGGUACCUGAGGAAUAAGCAUCGGCUAACUCCGUGCCAGCAGCCGCGGUAAGACGGAGGAUGCAAGCGUUAUCCGGAAUUAUUGGGCGUAAAGCGUCCGUAGGCGGUUUUUCAAGUCUGCCGUUAAAGACUACAGCUUAACUGUGGGCCGGCGGUGGAAACUGAGGAACUUGAGUAUGGUAGGGGUAGAGGGAAUUCCCAGUGUAGCGGUGAAAUGCGUAGAUAUUGGGAAGAACACCAGUGGCGAAGGCGCUCUGCUGGGCCAUAACUGACGCUGAGGGACGAAAGCUAGGGGAGCG